GACGAACGCUGGCGGCGUGCUUAACACAUGCAAGUCGAACGAAGUGGCGAACGGGUGAGUAACGAGUAAGCAACCUGCCCUUCAGAGGGGGACAACAGUGGGAAACGACUGCUAAUACCGCAUACUGAAGGAGGGGAUUGCGUCUGAUUCGCAAGUUGGGGGGGUAACGGCCCACCAAGGCGAUGACCAGUAGCCGGUCUGAGAGGAUUAACGGCCACAUUGGGACUGGGACACGGCCCAGACUCCUACGGGAGGCAGCAGUGGGGAAUCUUCCGCAAUGGACGAAAGUCUGACGGAGCAACGCCGCGUGAGGGAUGACGGCCUUCGGGUUGUAAAGCUCUGUUAAUCGGGACGCGGUACCGGAAUAGAAAGCCACGGCUAACUACGUGCCAGCAGCCGCGGUAAUUC
rnacentral:rRNA from 1 species